UACGUAGGGGCCGAGCGUUGUCCGGAGUUAUUGGGCGUAAAGCGCGCGUAGGCGGCGCGGUAUGUCGUGCGUGAAAUCUCCCGGCUUAACUGGGAGGGCCGUGCGAAACUGCCGGGCUUGAGGUCGGAAGGGGAAAGUGGAAUUCCGGGUGUAGUGGUGGAAUACGUAGAUAUCCGGAGGAACACCAGCGGCGAAGGCGGCUUUCUGGUCCGAUACGUGACGCUGAGGUGCGAAAGCG
rnacentral:rRNA from 1 species